rnacentral:rRNA from 1 species
CCUACGGGCGGCUGCAGUGAGGAAUAUUGGUCAAUGGGCGCUAGCCUGAACCAGCCAAGUAGCGUGAAGGAUGACUGCCCUACGGGUUGUAAACUUCUUUUAUAUGGGAAUAAAGUGCAGUAUGUAUACUGCUUUGCAUGUACCUUAUGAAUAAGGAUCGGCUAAAUCCGUGCCAGCAGCCGCGGUAAUACGGAGGAUCCGAGCGUUAUCCGGAUUUAUUGGGUUUAAAGGGAGCGUAGGCGGGUUGUUAAGUCUGUUGUGAAAGUUUGCGGCUCAACCGGAAAAUUGCCGUGGGUACUGGCAUCCUUGAGUCCAGUGAAGGUAGGCGGAAUUCGUGGUGUAGCGGUGAAAUGCUUAGAUAUCACGAAGAACUCCGAUUGCGAAGGCAGCCUGCUGGACUGGAACUGACGCUGAUGCUCGAAAGUGUGGGUAUCAAACAGGAUUAGAUACCCGAGUAGUC